UACGUAGGGUGCAAGCGUUGUCCGGAAUUAUUGGGCGUAAAGAGCUCGUAGGCGGUUAGUCGCGUCUGCUGUGAAAACUCGGGGCUUAACUCCGGGCCUGCAGUGGGUACGGGCUGACUAGAGUGCGGUAGGGGAGACUGGAAUUCCUGGUGUAGCGGUGAAAUGCGCAGAUAUCAGGAGGAACACCGGUGGCGAAAGCGGCUCUCUGGAACGGUACUGACGCUGAGACGCGAAAGCGUGGGGAGCGAACAGG
rnacentral:rRNA from 1 species